rnacentral:rRNA from 1 species
GAUGAACGCUGGCGGCAGGCCUAAUACAUGCAAGUCGAACGGGAUCCAGAUCAAAGCUUGCUUUGGUUUGGUGAGAGUGGCGUACGGGUGCGUAACGCGUGAGCAACCUACCCUUGUCAGGGGGAUAGCCCGGCGAAAGUCGGAUUAAUACCGCAUGACAUCAUUGAGAGGCAUCUUUCGAUGAUCAAAGAUUUAUCGGACAAGGAUGGGCUCGCGUGACAUUAGCUAGUUGGUAAGGUAACGGCUUACCAAGGCUACGAUGUCUAGGGGCUCUGAGAGGAGAAUCCCCCACACUGGUACUGAGACACGGACCAGACUCCUACGGGAGGCAGCAGUAAGGAAUAUUGGUCAAUGGACGGAAGUCUGAACCAGCCAUGCCGCGUGCAGGAAGACGGCCCUAUGGGUUGUAAACUGCUUUUAUACGGGAACAAACGUCGGUACGUGUACCGGUCUGAGUGUACCGUAAGAAUAAGGAUCGGCUAACUCCGUG